CAGUUGUUGAUACGCGCUUAUAAAGAGCAAAGAGUCAUAGACCAAGAACAGGCAACAUUGUAGUUUGUGACGUUUCCAGUCCUUGAAGCAGAUUUUCUUAAUCUCAAUCUCAUGUGCCUGUUUCCCCACUCUACUCCCAGAAACCAAGAAGCCUAUAAAACCCAAGAAAGAGAGUAGUCUAACCAGCGCCCCCUACUGGAGAAUGGGAACAUGAUGCCUACUAGAGGUGUCUGAACUAUGUCCCUCAACAGAAGACCACAAUGAAGAAAACCAACUGUUUCACUGGAAGACUAGAGGCUGGUCUUUGCAGAGUGUAGAGAUGUGUACUGAAGUUAUAAAGAAUGAAGCCAAGCAUUCAGCACUUACCACACAGUCUUUUAAGGUCAACCCUGGAGUAAGAGGGAUUUCACUCCCUAAAGUGAGGAACUGCGCUGUAUUGCUUCCCUUCAUGAUGGUGAGCAAGCGAACGGAAACAAAGCUGGGUGAGAUGGGCCAUUAAGCACCGCACUCAGAACCUGAGCUGCUGUAAUGUCACAAAGGCGAGGUGCUGCGCCUUUGGUGCACACACUGCCAAGGGAGGCACUAGUGUUGCCACAGUAAUGGUAAUAAAGUGC
rnacentral:lncRNA from 1 species